rnacentral:rRNA from 1 species
UACGGGGAAUGCAAGCGUUAUCCGGAUUUAUUGGGUUUAAAGGGUGCGUAGGCUGUGAGGUAAGUCAGCGGUGAAAUGCCCCCGCUCAACGGGGUGAAGUGCCAUUGAUACUGCCUUGCUGGAAUGCGGAUGCCGUGGGAGGAAUGUGUGGUGUAGCGGUGAAAUGCAUAGAUAUCACACAGAACACCGAUUGCGAAGGCAUCUCACGAAUCCGCGAUUGACGCUGAUGCACGAAAGCGUGGGUAUCAAACAGG